GAUAUUAAAUUUGUUGUCUCUUGUCUUGUCUAUCUAUUGUGCUACUCAAGUUACUGAAGGCUUCCACAACAUCUUAUUUGUCAGGUGUUAUACCUGAACUCUUCCCUUUUUCCCUGGUUGGAAAUACGAAUUCUCAAGGGUCAAGAGCUAGAUGUUGCAAAAGUAGUGCCUCUCCUCUUCAAAUGGAGAUAGGAAUUGAUGUGUCCAUGUGUCAAGC
rnacentral:lncRNA from 1 species